GAUGAAGAACGUAGCGAAAUGCGAUACGUAAUGUGAAUUGCAGAAUUCAGUGAAUCAUCGAGUCUUUGAACGCACAUUGCGCCCCCUGGUAUUCCGGGGGGCAUGCCUGUCCGAGCGUCAUUGCUGCCCUCAAGCACGGCUUGUGUGUUGGGCCUCCGUCCUCCUCCCGGGGGACGGGCCCGAAAGGCAGCGGCGGCACCGCGUCCGGUCCUCGAGCGUAUGGGGCUUCGUCACCCGCUCUUGUAGGCCCGGCCGGCGCUUGCCGACACAUCAAUCUUUUUUCCAGGUUGACCUCGGAUCAGGUAGGGAUACCCGCUGAACUUAAGCAUAUCAAAGCGGAGGA
rnacentral:misc_RNA from 1 species